CAAGAGUUGGACAUUAACAAACUGAGCCACUCAGGUGCACAAGGAACCUUGCUAUUAUACCAGUGCUUUGGAGAGUACGCACAGAUCAUAUUUUCCUAAUUCAUCAUUUUGCACGGGAGGCAACUGAAAGCCAGUAAAGUGAAGAAACUGAAGAAAAUCACACAGAGAUAAUGACAGGACUGGAACUCAAGCCCUGUGCUCUUUGAAAUGCUCCCCAGAGAUGAAGGUAAUUUAUUUGGAAGAUCACAGCUUAGCCUCAGAAUGCCAUCCCAAGCCAACUUCAGUGGAUAUAUACAUAUAUGUCAGUAUCUGAAGAGUAGAGUUAAUCCAGAGGUAGCCUAACUUUUUUUUUGGAAAUACUUCCCUGAAAUGACAUCAUUAACGUUCUCACACCAAAAACAGUAGCAUAUUGGAAAUCUGGUGUCCUGAUGCAUCUCAGUCAAAGGAGAAAAAUGUGAUGCAGCAAUGGAAUACCGUGAGCAGUAGAGCUGUGCUUACCUUCAUAAGUCCCACUUUCUAGGAGAGCACCGCUUUUCUCCAAUUCCAUAAAAUCUUCAACGGUGAUGAAAAUGUAGUCCACUCCGGGGACCUCACCCUCCUUAUGUGGCCUUGUGGUGCCUGAAUAAGGAAAAUUGAAAAACAAAAGAAAGACUCUAAGUGAUUUGUUCUGAACUUUAGAAAUACCACUGUACUUCUGAAUAUUCAAUAACACUUGUUUAUACAUCCUGCGAGCUGGCAGUUUGCAUUUGUCCUUCUGUUUGUUUGGAAACAGAAAAUAGCAAGGAGUAAAGAUGAAAUUCUGAUUGGACUGGGAGGUGACAUGCUCCAAGGAGCCGCUUCAUGGGUCCACCACUCCUGUUCCCUAUAGAAUGAAUGAAGUCUCUGCAGCCAAGGCAUAGGACCUUCAACAACAAGAGUCAGAGAGCAUGAUGUCAGAUCUACACGUCCAGGAAGAAAGGAUAUUAGUUGUUAAAUCAAUCGGCCCCCAGAAGGAGAAAGCAAUUGGCUAAAGGAAAAGAAAGCAAUUGGUGAUCUAUGAACACCUCUUUGG